AGUCGAGCGGGGUAGCAAUAUCCAGCGGCGGACGGGUGAGGAAUACAUAGGAAUCUGCCUUUAGGUGGGGGAUAGCUUGGGGAAACUCAGGGUAAUACCGCAUGAUCUCGCAAGAGCAAAGUGGGGGAUCGCAAGACCUCACGCCUUUAGAGGAGCCUAUGUCUGAUUAGCUUGUUGGUGAGGUAAUGGCUCACCAAGGCGACGAUCAGUAACUGGUCUGAGAGGACGAUCAGUCACACCGGAACUGAGACACGGUCCGGACUCCUACGGGAGGCAGCAGUGGGGAAUUUUGGACAAUGGGCGAAAGCCUGAUCCAGCAAUGCCGCGUGAGUGAAGAAGGCCUUCGGGUUGUAAAGCUCUUUUGUCAGGGGAAAAAACGGUGAGGGCUAAUAUCUCUUGCUAAUGACGGUACCUGAAGAAUAAGCACCGGCUAACUACGUGCCAGCAGCCGCGGUAAU
rnacentral:rRNA from 1 species